AUGGUUUGGUUUUGUUAGCCAGAUUCAGUCUUUCUUUAUCUCAGCUGAGGUUGAUGUGGGUUUAUUGGCAGAUUAUUUACAAAAGAAAUUGUUUGAGGUCAAGAGUUGAUGCCAAAUGUCCUGGAUCAGGACAACUCCUGGGAAACAAGGCGAACGGUAUGUGCGUGCAAAAUUGAAAAUUGUACUAGAUAUGUGUAGUUUGCUCCAGGAUCCUAUAUCAGUGUAUUUGCUUCGUGCAGUUCCCUAUGUCAUCCAUUAUAUUUAUAUAGGGAUAAAUUUCCACGGGUUGUUGUAAGCAAAACUCCCUAUGUACCGGCACUUGUCUCUUUACAGACUGUCCGGGCUUUCUAGAUUAGAAUAUAAUUGUUUUAGAUAAUUCGAAAUAAGUUUUUACGCCAGCUUGCACCUUUAUUAUUUGCAGCCGGGAAGUCUAUUUCUUUUCUUUUUUUUGAUUCAAAACUAUUGGCAUGAAUUGGCCCUUGCAUUUGGUCUGAGCACUUACAAUAAUUCCAACCUGUCAAUUGGGGACAGAUAUGUCCAUCACACCUGUACCUUUUAUUCAGUUUGAGGAGGAAUAAGUAGUCAAUUGGCUGAUUAAUUAUGUUUCAUGUGAUUUGUAUAUGGACGCAGUUGCAACAGUUAGCUGCAUCAACUAUAAUUUUUCUUUCGCUGGCGGGGCAUGCAUCCCGACGAGUUAUACAAUUUAGCUGAUUUAAUUCGUGGCCUAACAAUACUUUUGGUAAUAGUUGUCAAGUAAAAAAGGAUCUGCUUUUUCGUAAUGAUGGCCAAAUAAAAGAGGAUCCAAACCCUCACGAGUUUACAUUGUACAAAGCUAUUAUGUGCUGACAAUAAUUUUUCUAAGUUGCUCUCUACAUCUCGGUGUUAUUAGUCUAAAUAUUCUGAUUCCAAAGGAUGUUUUCAAACAUCAGAUCUUUUAAUAAAUUUGAAACAACAUAUCUUUCUAAUUUUGGUUCUGUCUAAAAUGAUGAAAUUCAAUUUUGUUCUACUGCAUAUUAGCUUAAUCAUCUUCACCAGCAGUAUAUAUUGCAGAUAAUUGUGUUGGUUUGGUUUUUAGCAUGUAGGUAUGAUAUGGUAAGCCUCCAGUGAAGGAGGGGCUUAGAAAAAGAGAAACUGUUCUAUUUGAUAUACAAUGUAAUUUGGAAAUUAAUGGCAGAAGGCUCCUAAACUAACAUAUGAUGUUUUGUUUGAAUUUCUCUUUACCGGAUUGUGUUACUUCUGCGCAGUCACCAUACUUGACAAGGGUCCCUGAUUUUAUCACUUCCGUUGACGAGUCUUGUGUCAGCAUCUUGAUGCGAGGUACAACUUCUAGGUGAUCUUCUUCAUGUUUUACGUUGUUGUACUUUUUGCUGCAAUGUGGACGUACAUAUUCUAGCAGAUAUAUCUUCAUGCUUUACCUUGUUUACCACUGCCCUGAUGUGGAGGUACAGAUUCUAGCUGAUAUAUAUCGUCAUGUUUUACCUUUUACCAACAUCCAAGAUUUUUGUUUCCUCAUUUCUUUCAAUUAGAUAGAAGAUGGGACGUGCUUUGUUGUAGUUUCCUCUUACUUUGACUAAGUAGGACAUUUUUUUGAAAUACCAAAUUGUGGUGUCGCUACCCCUACGCACCACGGUUUUGCAGCACCCUCAGCUAAAGUAAACCAUUCCAAGCCUACCAUACUCGAAACAUGGAAGCAUGCAAACUUCAGAGCAUCUUGGUGUCGCUGGCCACCCGAUCUCUACAACCACCACAAAAUGCUACAGGACCAACCAGGCCGGUGUCCUGACCACUGAAUCAUGUCACUGUGUGGGCGCCUAGAUCUCCCAUGUGUCUGUCUAAAGCCUGAGGGGCCAACCUCGCUCGAGCGUCGCCAGCCAGCACUCAUCUGCACAUGAACAAAUGGUUGGAUAUAUGUGCCUCCUCCGUCUCUUAUUCCCCGAAACAUAAUUUGAUGAGUAGAGUUUCUAAUCAUUUAUGGCACACUGGCAUAUGAUUAAACUGCACAAGUUAGAUUGACAUUUUGUGGAGAACGGUCGUCGGUUGGGAGCCUCGCCGUCUACCUCCACCAGCCGGCCCACACACCAUUGCUCCCCGCGUGUCGCGCCCCUCCCCGAACCAUCAUGCCUUCUAAUUAGUGUACGUGGUAGUCUGGUAAAAGUGGAGAAUAAUUCGGGUAAUGUCUAUGGAUGUACUACCAGUAUUGCGGCUAACCUGCCUGGCAGUGAGAUGCAUCUAGAUUAGAUCUGAUUACUGAUAUAGAAGAUGCAAUUAAUUAUCUAAAAUUUUCCUUGUACCAUUUUCCAUGAGAUUAAUGUAAUUGGGAAUACCAGUGCUUGUUUGAAUCAUUUAGUUAAAUAAUUUUAUAGAUAAAACUUGUAUUUGUAUGUUUUGGAAUUACUAUUAUCCUGGUAAAAUGACCACAAGUGAAAGGGUUGUAAAGAUUAAUUAUUCUUUGUGGAAGCAUUACUGGUCUAAUUAAUAGAUGUACAUGCAUCAAUAAUGUUGUUGAGCUUUAGUUGAUUCUAUAGUGUUGUACUAUUCGCAAAGUUCUAUUUUGAGAAAAAAAUGGCAAAUUCAAUAUUGUGCCAGCUAAAUGGCGCACCCGCUGUAGCAAGUGAGUUCCCAUCAAAAUCACCCUGAGCAUAUUUUUGCUGAUUUUCAUGAUUGCUCUUCUGCCAGGAACAAUGUUCCUGGCACUUCGACCACACAACUGUAUGUUCAUGUUCCAGUGUCCUUAUUCAUAGUUAAUUUCAAUCACAAAGUGACAAAUGUCAGUCUAUUAGUUAACAUGUGUAUCUCCGUUUCUUCUAAGUUUCAAUCGACCUACUCUGAAGUUGUUCCUAAGAUAGUGCCUCAAGCAAAGGGAAUGAGCCUCAGUUAGUGCAUCUAGCAAGUUCGUGAUCCUUUGUUGGGAUAAACAUUUGUGCAAGAGCAAUAGUCUCGUCACUAUUGGUUGUUAGUACUGUUGCUUGUUAAUUCUACUUUUUACUUCAGUUCGUAAUGCAAUAUAGUUAUGCUUGACGCACUAUAAGAAGACUGCCAUUUUGCCUUUUGACCUUGGUUUCUUCCUCCAGUAAGUAAAUGCACAUAGUUCUUUUGUAAAUUAGAGCAUACGACUUGUUGAUCGAUCUCUGAGCUCAGUAAUAAUAUUAAGCCUCAAUCUGUUUAUUGUGCACACAAGAUGAGAAAGAAUUGCUACCCAAGAAUAUGUACUUUAUAAACAUUUCAACUGUAAUCUGGAAAAAAAUUAAAUAAAUAAGGAAACAGUAUAUUCAUAUAUCUUUUUUGUACUUUGAUGGUGUCACACCACAAGUUCCGAGAUGGUAAUUGUGCUGCAUAUGUCUGCUCUCUUACUUUGUUUUUCUGAACAGGUAGGUUCUGGAAGAUGUCAUGAAGAAUUUCUUUCAGAGAAUUUGCGUGAGGAGUGUCUAAAUGAUUUUUAUCUUCUGAACAUAUUCUUGUAUGACUAACUGAAUUCAUUUUUUCAAAACGUCGGUACUUUUCCUUUUUCAUUUAUGUUGCUCGAUUGAGUCCACAUGCCUGCCCUUACUGAGUUUGCUCAAGAGUAAGAUAAACUUGAUAUUUAUGUUUGUCGGCAGCAGCGUGACUAGCUGAUCUGUAGCGGCGCGGAAGGUGAGCUUGGCUGCAGGUAGCAGCUCCUUUGGCUGAUCUGCGGCGAUGCAGAAGUUGGGUUGGAAAGAAGCACGACCGGCUGCUCUGAAGUGGGACGUAGGGAGAGCUUCGUAAGAGAUAGGGAGGGAGCUCUAUUGGCCCGUGCAUGACAUCCAACCCAAUGGCAUCAUGCCCUGGUAAGCUUCUUAUCUGUUCCAAUUCUUGCACUUGGUCUUUUUCUUUCUAACCCUAAAAAUAGAGUGUGCCUUGAUUCCUAAUCAUGCUUUAAAAGCUGAUAUCCACCUCGUUUAUCUUGCUACUAGUGGUAAUGUGUGCAAGUAUGAUUUUGUGAUAAUGCCAGAUGUUGUGUGCCUUCUUUAUUCAUGGUACGAGUACUCUAACCUGGCUCGUAUGAUAAUGUAUCACUGCUAUAGAGCACAAACGACGUGUUUUUUAAUUAUAUUUUAGUUGACAUGGAUUUCAUUUAUCUUGUGAAUUGUAUAGUCAGAUCAUGAAUUUUUAUGAUUGAUUGAUUUUCAUGGUCACAGGUAGGCAUGGUUGUGUGGCCACGGGGAAAAUGGAGCAAGUAGCAUGUGAGGAGUUUAACAAAUGGGGACAAGGGACAGUUUAGUUAAUUAAGGCUCUAUGUUAGUUUCAAGUUUUAUCCUUGUUGCGGUAAAAAAUUAUGGUUGGAUUAACCACCAUGUACAUCUUUAAUUACUUUUAAAUAAGAAAUAUAAUCAAAAUAUUCUUUUGAAUUGAUAAAAUUUAUAUAAUUUGUACAAGUACAUGAAGGUGGAACAGGAGGAAGGGUGGGAGAAGAUUAGAUAUCGUUUCAUUUUCUUGCAAGGAAAGGAUGGUUACGAAGAAAUGACAAGAAAUGGAGGGACAAUCAGUUUUAUUACUGUAUGGAUGGAAACCACAUGCCAGCUUGUCCAACAUAUUUCUACAUUGAGUCAAUUAUUCAAUCGCUAUAUUUUUUUUAUUCCAUGGCAAUGCAUGGUCAUUCAACUAUUCAAAUUUACGGGUUAUUCAUCCACUUUUUUCAAGCUAUUUACAUAUUUGUCACUUGUCAGCAAGUUUGCAUAUGAUGCUAGGAAGUGAACAUAAGGACACAUAAACGUUGCAUUUUGAAUAUGAAAUAAACUCAACAUCCAAAUACCAGAUUCGAUGCUCUGUCCAUCAGAGAGCAGGAAAUGUAAGGAUCCUUCUAAAUAAGAUAUUACCUAUCUUGAAGCUGGAAAUGCAAGAAUUCUUCUAAAUAAGAUAUUAGUUAUCUUCAUGAUGGAAAUGCAAGCAUCCAAAAUUUACAACAAUAUUUCUAAAAACUGAAAACAAGCUUGCAAUCUUGAUAUAAGAAUGAAACAUAAGCAACAUCACAGAGUUUGCUAUUUCUUUUUAAACAUAAUUACCAACAAGUGAUAUACAGGUGAACUUGCAGUUUAUUCAAAUUGGAAUGCGGCUCACUCUACUAAAAAGGACGAUGUCACUCACUCCGAGUAAAAACGGUCAUCUACUCACAUUUAACAUCUGACCAAUGAAUAUAUAUUGUAUAUGAGUUUUCUAUUUUUUUAUUUUAAUAUUGUUUGUAUGUUUACUUUUGUAGAUCAAAGAUCAAAACUGAUGGCUUUUUAUUGACAAAGCUUUAUGGUGAACCAGACUGAAAAAUCAUCGGGUUUUACACAAUCAGAAGAGAUGCAUACAAAUAAUUGUUCUUUAUAUAUUUGUUGUGCAUGAUAAUACAAAAGGUAUGUUUCUAUACAUAUUUAUUUUUGCAGAGUAUGAAAGAGAUGGAGAUGGAUUAUGUCAGCGUUCAAAAAGAAUCCAUCGACAAGGGUGUUGAGGCAAUGUCAUUGGAAGAGCCCAAAAAUUCAUUAAGAUUUUGUACAACAAAAGGCCCGUGGCAACG
rnacentral:lncRNA from 1 species